UAGGUAGCGAGCGUUGUUCGGAGUUACUGGGCGUAAAGGGUGUGUAGGCGGUUGUUUAAGGCUGGUGUGAAAUCUCCCGGCUCAACUGGGAGGGUGCGCCGAAUACUGAAUGACUCGAGUGUGGGAGAGGUGAGUGGAAUUCCUGGUGUAGCGGUGAAAUGCGUAGAUAUCAGGAGGAACACCGGUGGUGUAGACGGCUCACUGGACCAUAACUGACGCUGAGACACGAAAGCGUGGGUAGCAAGCAGG
rnacentral:rRNA from 1 species